AAUUAUUACAGAAGACAGACAGUUUCAAUGAGAUUCAGUGAAAUAUAUAGCUAAAGUGACGUGAGCACAAAGAUGAGUAAACAAAUCUUCUCUUUUCAGGUAUACACAGAUUUGAAGGUUUAAAAGAAUACACUAAAAACACGACUGAUGUGUGGCAGGGACAUGCAUGUGUUUAUGUGUGUAUGAACAAGAAUCUAAACCCGUUUUCAUAUAGAACUUUAAGUACUAGGAAUCAAAUCUUGCAUAGUGUAGAGAGAGAGAGAGAAAGAAGAGAGAGAUGCAAAAGAAGAUUGUCUCUUAGUUAUUAGAGAAAACUGAGGAUGAGAAGAAGAAUGAAAUAAUAGGAAACUUUCGAAGAUGAUAAGAGAGAUUGGACACUGAUCUUUUUUAUUAAAAAAAUUCCUAAAUCCUGACAACUACGGGAGAUCAAGAGAGAGAGAGAGAGAGAUGCAUGCAGA